rnacentral:rRNA from 1 species
UUCUGACCGUAAACGAUGCCAACUAGCGAUCCGUCGGUGGCUCCAAGGCCCUGAUGGGGAGCUUCCCGGAAACGAAAGUCUUCCGGUUCCGGGGGAAGUAUGGUUGCAAAGCUGAAACUUAAAGGAAUUGACGGAAGGGCACCACCAGGAGUGGAGCCUGCGGCUUAAUUUGACUCAACACGGGAAAACUCACCCGGCCCGGACACCGUGAGGAUUGACAGAUUGAUAGCUUUUUCAUGAUUCGGUGGUUGGUGGUGCAUGGCCGUUCUUAGUUCGUGGAUCGAUUUGUCUGGUUUAUUCCGAUAACGAGCGAGACUCCAGCCUACUAAAUAGUGCGGGAAUUGCCACUGUUCCCUUGCACUUCUUAGAGGGAUUGGCUGCGUCUAGCGGCACGAAACGGAGCAAUAACAGGUCUGUGAUGCCCUUAGAUGUCCGGGGCUGCACGCGCGCUACACUGGCAAAGGCAGCGUGCUUGUCCGUCUCCGAAAGGAGUCGGUAAACCCUUGAAAAUUUGCCGUGAUUGGGAUCGGAAAUUGCAAUUAUUUUCCGUGAACGAGGAAUUCCUAGUAAGUGCGAGUCAUCAGCUCGCGUUG